rnacentral:rRNA from 1 species
AUUGAACGCUGGCGGCAGGCCUAACACAUGCAAGUCGAACGAGUGGCGGACGGGUGAGUAAUGCUUGGGAAUCUAGCUUAUGGAGGGGGAUAACUACGGGAAACUGUAGCUAAUACCGCAUACCAUAGGAUGAGCCCAAGUGGGAUUAGGUAGUAGGUGGGGUAAAGGCUCACCAAGGCGACGAUCCCUAGCUGGUCUGAGAGGAUGACCAGCCACACUGGGACUGAGACACGGCCCAGACUCCUACGGGAGGCAGCAGUGGGGAAUAUUGCGCAAUGGGUGCAAGCCUGACGCAGCCAUGCCGCGUGAAUGAAGAAGGCCUUCGGGUUGUAAAGUACUUUCGGUAGGGAGGCGUUAACUACAGAAGAAGCACCGGCUAACUCCGUGCCAGCAGCCGCGGUAAUAC